UCCCUCGUUUUCUCAUACGAUAAAGCCAUAAGGGAAAAAAGUAGGCUUAAUUACUAAAAGAUAAAACUAAAAAAUGGCAAAAACCAUUACGAUUGUUUUCUUUAUGUCCAUUGUUGUGGUGGGAUCACUGCAAUUCUCUAAGGCACACAUGACCGCUGAAAGGGAUGCUGAGAUUGAGAGGAAAUCUAAUACUUUGUUUAACGAAAUAUCCAAUCUAGAGCCUCAAUACAAAUCAUGUGUAGAAACGUGCAAGAAAACAUGCACGACAAAAGGCGUUGCUAACGAUUUGUGUGAUCCUAUAUGUGAUAAAGAUUGCAUGAAAAAUGAAGUUGUUGAAAAACUCAAGUCCAAACUAGGCGCUUGAUAAUUGACCAGGAAUUUAAAGUUGACAGCUGGAAAAUGGUGGGAUCAACUAUAAAUGAUUUGAUUAAUUAACAUUUUAGAAAGGAAAAUCUAAAUUCCCUUUCAUUUUCUUCAUUCAAUAUAAUUUGUUGUUUCUUUAUACAAAGGUUGUACCUUAUGUGUCGUUGGGUGCUUCUUUCGUCAUUAUUUUCAACAACGAGAUCAAUAAAGUUUAUUUACGCCUUUUGUGUUUAUUCACAU